rnacentral:rRNA from 1 species
GAUGAACGCUGGCGGCGUGCCUAAUACAUGCAAGUCGAGCGAACGGACGAGAAGCUUGCUUCUCUGAUGUUAGCGGCGGACGGGUGAGUAACACGUGGAUAACCUACCUAUAAGACUGGGAUAACUUCGGGAAACCGUAGCUAAUACCGGAUAAUAUUUUGAACCGCAUGGUUCAAAAGUGAAAGACGGUCUUGCUGUCACUUAUAGAUGGAUCCGCGCUGCAUUAGCUAGUUGGUAAGGUAACGGCUUACCAAGGCAACGAUACAUAGCCGACCUGAGAGGGUGAUCGGCCACACUGGAACUGAGACACGGUCCAGACUCCUACGGGAGGCAGCAGUAGGGAAUCUUCCGCAAUGGGCGAAAGCCUGACGGAGCAACGCCGCGUGAGUGAUGAAGGUCUUCGGAUCGUAAAACUCUGUUAUUAGGGAAGAACAUAUGUGUAAGUAACUGUGCACAUCUUGACGGUACCUAAUCAGAAGGCCACGGCUAACUACGUG